UACGGAGGGUGCAAGCGUUAUCCGGAUUCACUGGGUUUAAAGGGAGCGUAGGUGGCUUUGUAAGUCAGUGGUGAAAUCUUAGAGCUUAACUCUAAAAACUGCCAUUGAUACUGCUUAGCUUGAAUCACGUCGAGGUGGAUGGAAUAUUACAUGUAGCGGUGAAAUGCUUAGAUAUGUAAUAGAACACCGAUUGCGAAGGCAGUUCACUAGGCGUGUAUUGACACUGAGGCUCGAAAGCGUGGGGAUCAAACAGG
rnacentral:rRNA from 1 species